UGAGGCGGGGAGAGGCUGCCUUAGGCGUUCUGGGGACUGCGUUCUGCCGGCCGGCUUGCGCCUUUUACUACGUGUCCGCCUUGCCGGCUUUUCCACUUCGCUUCCUGGCUCCCGCCGUAGUUCUUUUCUUUUGUGCCUCUGGUCUUGCCCACUACGCCUUCCCGAAUUUCCCACUUCUCCGUAUGGUUUUGCGGCAUCUUUGCUAUUUCGGCUCUUUCUUCGCCCUCGUAUCAUCCGUCCCUUCCCCGCCGGGCGUGCAAGUGCUUCCAACCUGCUCCGGUCCCUUCUCGGUUCUCGUCAGAGGUGCAUUACGUCAGUGGUCCCCCCUUUUGCCCCGCGCUGGAGCCAGGACCCCUUUUUUUUUCCUGGGUCGACGCGUUCCCGUCCGUUUUCCCAGGCCGGCAUUCCCGUCCGCUGAUGACGGCAGCUUUGUGUUUCUCCCCGUCCGCCUUUCGGACACGAGAACGCGCCCACUCCUUUUUUUUUUUUUUUUUUUAAGUGGGGUUACGCCCUCGGAGCUAACUUUGAAAUCUGAGGAGAGGCCUCAGGAGCUAGGCCUCUCAGACGCCAGCGACCUCGGGGACCUCGGGUCGUGAAGGCACAGCACCUGGGAUCCAGCAGUCCUCGGAUUCCCCGCCGCCGCCGCCGCCCCCGCCCUGUCCUUACCAGCGGGAACACUGCUCACUCUUAACUGUGAUGUUUUGGGAGAGCCCUAGGUUUCUCUCUCUCCUUUUCAUCUCGCGGAGGGCCCUGCAUCUCGUGGUGUCACCACUGGGUGACACUCAGUCACAGGGCGGUUUUAAAUGGUGUCUUUUGUGAAUCUUGGUAGCUUCCGCACAUUGGGAUGAUUAUUUUCCUGAAGAAGAGAAUAGUUUAUUUUAGGGUCAGUUGAGAGAAUAUCUUGAUUACUUGUCCAUUUGCGGCUUCACAAGUAGUUUUCCCAUCAGGUACUUUGGUCCCAUCAUCCUGGGAACCUUGGACAAACCAGGCUGAUUUAGCCAAAGCUGUAAACUGAUCCUUUAAGACUUGAAGAGCUUUUACAAAGGAGUAAGGAGAAUAAGGGUGGGGAGGGCACAUGCUCGUUGGCAGCAGUUAGCCUUUCUGUGAAAUCUGAUUUUUCACCCAUGGAUUCUGAAGUGGAUUAGUGGGUUUUCACGUAUCCUGGAGUUGCUGUUAAGUUGGUAGCACUGAAACAUGUGGGUUAUAUCAGUGGUCUCCUAAGUCGAGAAGUGAAGAAAAUUGAGUAACCACCUCUGUUGUAUGUGUUAAAUAAAUUAUGUUCUGUGAAACUGUUAGGUAUGUUAUAAAAUAUACACAGAAAAGAAAGUUGGCUUUUUUAAAGAGUUUAUUCAUUUAUUUAUUUCAGAGAGGGAGAGUGUGAGCAGAGGGAGAGCGAUAAACAGACUCCAGCCUGAGCGUGGCGCGGGGCUCAAUCUUACAGCCAGCACUUCUUAACCUUUUGGAGGUCACAGAUAUCUUUGAAACUCUGAUGAAAGUGUCUAGGAUAAUGCUUGAUGGAGUGGGUGCUCAAUCACUGUCAAGUGAGUAAACUUAGUAAGACCCGAAAUAAGCUGGUGGAUAUUAGAAUAGGAAUGAAUUUGAAAGAAAUUUGGUAUAUAAAAUUGUAAGUAUAGAUGAGUUAGAUGUGGGAGGAAUGAAAGAUGAAUCCAAGGUUUGAGUAGUCUAGGUUGAGAGGAGAAGCAGCCAGUUUUGUGUAGCAGAAAAGAUAAGUUCAGUUUUGGGCUUAAGUGUCUUUGAGAUUUGCACUUGGAGAUGGCUGAUAGUCAGUUGGAAAUGUGGGCCUCCUUUUCAAGAACUGCGAGCUGAUAGUAAAGGUUUGGUACAUAUUCAGAAAAUAUUUAUGGAGUGCCUACCAUGUGCCAGCUACCAUAGGUUCUCAACGUAUAGCAAUGAACAAAGCAGACAAAAUUCUUGUCAUGGAGUUUAUAUUUUACUGGGGGAAAGCUCAGUAAAUAAGUAAAAUUUAUAGUAUGCCAAAUAGUGAUAAGAUCUAUAGAGAAAUAUAGGAACAGUGUUUGGUGGGUGUUAGGUGUACAGUGGGAUUAAGGGUAUUGACAUUUUAUUUUUUAUUUUUUUUAAAGGUUAAUCAAGUUUUUUUUUAAUUUUUAUU